AGGUCUGGACAGUUGCAAUCUUCGUUCUGUCUCAGCCGAACAUUGCACUCGUCCCGGCCUGA
rnacentral:pre_miRNA from 1 species